CGUGUAGGCGGUUUGGCAAGUCGAGUGUGAAAUCCCACGGCUCAACCGUGGAACUGCGCUCGAAACUGCCUUACUUGAGUGCGGGAGAGGGUGUGCGGAAUUCCUGGUGUAGCGGUGGAAUGCGUAGAUAUCAGGAAGAACACCGGUGGCGAAGGCGGCACACUGGCCCAGCACUGACGCUGAGGCGCGAAAGCGUGGGGAGCGAACGG
rnacentral:rRNA from 1 species